GAAAGGAAGGGGUUUUGGCUGGAUCCUGGGACCCAGCAGAAGACAAGAGCUUCAACCCUGGUUUUUUUGGACUGCUCAGGAUGAGGUGGUGCACCACCUUGAAGCUCUUGCUGCCUGCCUUCCACAGUGGACAAGAGCUUGGUGCUGUUUCAGGAAACCUGUGGGUCCACCAAGCUGGUGAGAAUCCAUCCCAGUAUCCAUCAUAGCUGCCCUGGCUGGAAACGGGAACGCGACUGGAGAAGCCAGUGUUGCCUUCCCUGCCCCGCAUCCCCUGUGGGUACCUCAGAUCCUUCUGCCACCUCCUCACUGAGAAGCAAGACAAAUCAGAGUCUGGUUGAACCGAAUCAGGCUGUAUGAAAUAGUUUCUGGUUUUAAGCACGAAGGAGGCCCAAGUCUCAGCAACAGUGGAUGGAGCAAGAUGACCUUGGGAUAAUUUGGGAAGGAGUCUUCUGAUGUUUCCUAGUGGUUUCUUUCAUUCCCGGAGUGAUUAAGUGUGAAUUUACCACGAGUUACCGAGUCCACCCCAGUCCCUGCACACAGCCCCUGGUAAGAGGAUGGGAAACUUCUUCCCUUUCAUCAGCAGCGUCAAAACCUGUUGUGGAAAGAAGGUAAGCUGGUCAACAGAGCGUGGAAUGG